rnacentral:lncRNA from 13 species
UUUUAACACAUUGCGCAUGCAGCGUCAUUUGAUAAAUGUAAAAUACAUAUACACGGUACUUCACGGAACUGUACGGAAAGACCCGAGAUGUUAAUCAUAAAGAAUGUCUAUUACAACAUAGCUUCACGUUUUCAGUCUCUCGUGGUCUCUCGCAGUCUCUCGCGAGUAAUCACACAGCGUUGAUAUCUGUGCUUGAGAUAUUUUUCGCACAAAUUUUCACGUUUAUAAUCUCGGCGUUUCUUCAAUACGAAAAUAAAACGUUUUGCGUAUCAUUUCAUUCAACAAAAAAGACUUAAUAAAAUUUAAUUAAGGAAAUUCAGUGUGUGUGCACAGUACAUAGAAAUAAACAUACUCAAUAUAAAAUUAUAUACUUUCAAAGUGUUUAGUUCUAAAAAUUCAACGUUAUAAUUUUUUCGUGUAAUUUAUACACCUGGAGAUUCCAAUUUC